AGCCAGACUCCUACGGGAGGCAGCAGUGGGGGAUAUUGCACAAUGGGGGAAACCCUGAUGCAGCGACGCCGCGUGUGGGAAGACGGUCCUCUGGAUUGUAAACCACUGUCCCCAGGGACGAAGAUGACGGUACCUCUUGAAUAAGCCACGGCUAACUACGUGCCAGCAGCCGCGGUAAUACGUAGGUGGCAAGCGUUGUCCGGAUUUACUGGGUGUAAAGGGCGUGUAGCCGGGCUGACAAGUCAGAUGUGAAAUUCCGGGGCUCAACCCCGGACCUGCAUUUGAAACUGUUGGUCUUGAGUAUCGGAGAGGCAGGCGGAAUUCCUAGUGUAGCGGUGAAAUGCGUAGAUAUUAGGAGGAACACCAGUGGCGAAGGCGGCCUGCUGGACGACAACUGACGGUGAGGCGCGAAAGCGUGGGGAGCAAACAGGAUUAGAUACCCCGGUAU
rnacentral:rRNA from 1 species